AGUCGAGUUGUUUGGGAAUGCAGCUCAAAGUGGGUGGUAAAUUCCAUCUAAAGCUAAAUAUUGGCGAGAGACCGAUAGCGAACAAGUACUGUGAAGGAAAGAUGAAAAGAACUUUGAAAAGAGAGUGAAAAAGUACGUGAAAUUGUUGAAAGGGAAGGGUAUUCGAUCANACUGGUAUUUAGUUAUCUUUGCUCCUUGUGGGUGAGGCUCUAACUUUUUACUGGGCCAACAUCAGUUUUGGUGGCGAGAUAAUGACAUUAGAAUGUAACUCCUUCUGGAGUAUUAUAGCUCUUGUUGAUAUCGCCUACCGGGACUGAGGUCUGCGGCUUUGCCUAGGAUGUUGGCGUAAUGAUCCAAUACCGCCCGUCUUGA
rnacentral:rRNA from 1 species